rnacentral:rRNA from 1 species
GACGAACGCUGGCGGCGCGCCUAACACAUGCAAGUCGAACGAGAGAUGAAGAGCUUGCUCUUCAGAUCGAGUGGCGAACGGGUGAGUAACGCGUGAGGAACCUGCCUCAAAGAGGGGGACAACAGUUGGAAACGACUGCUAAUACCGCAUAAGCCCACGGCUCGGCAUCGAGCAGGGGGAAAAGGAGCAAUCCGCUUUGAGAUGGCCUCGCGUCCGAUUAGCUAGUUGGUGAGGUAACGGCCCACCAAGGCGACGAUCGGUAGCCGGACUGAGAGGUUGAACGGCCACAUUGGGACUGAGACACGGCCCAGACUCCUACGGGAGGCAGCAGUGGGGAAUAUUGCACAAUGGGGGAAACCCUGAUGCAGCGACGCCGCGUGGAGGAAGAAGGUCUUCGGAUUGUAAACUCCUGUUGUUGAGGAAGAUAAUGACGGUACUCAACAAGGAAGUGACGGCUAACUACGUGCCAGCCGCCGCGUAAAAC